UAAACAAAAUUGGCGAGAAAAUGAAAAAUUUUAAAGGAUUGAAGAAGUGAAGAUCUCAUGGAGGGGACAACACGAUUUCUUCCUUCGUCUAAGAAGGAGUGGUAGAGGGCAAGCCAUACACUCAACCCAAAGUCUGCUUGUCGAGUUCAUCACCACCUAGUUGCCAUCGUUGCUUGCAAGUCUGAACCAGAGGCAAGACCGUGACAGCCUUAUAACGAUAAGGUAAUAAACAUCCAACAACUCAGAAGUCAUAUAGUUCUGUGGUCACGAUGCUCGGGAGGCUCCACACUUCAGGUGUAAAGGCACACCCUCCAACAGGUGAGCAGUUGGGAGUGUAGCAUUGGACAUGAGAUACUGUAACGGUUUCUAAGGAAAAAUCAUGCUAUACUUCCUGGUCGUUGCCGCCAUCAUCGUGGAGGCAAGAGACGUGACGUCGGCGACGACAGACACUAACCUGCUGCCACCUAUUAUAUAGUCUACAGCCAUAAUUAAUCGUCUGUCACAGUGAUUAACUUUUUGGCAAUUCGAUAAAUCCUAUAGGAAUAAAAGGGUUAAAACCUGUCUACAUUUGAUGAAAAA